rnacentral:rRNA from 1 species
GACAGAGGUGCCGAGCGUUAGGCGGAAUCACUGGGCUUAAAGCGUGUGUAGGCGGACUGAUAAGUACCUUGUGAAAUCCCACGGCUUAACCUGGAACUGCUUGGUAUACUGUCGGUCUUGAGCCAGCUAGAGGUUACCGGAACAAAUGGUGGAGCGGUGAAAUGCGUAGAUAUCAGGAGGAACACCGGUGGCGAAGGCGGGUCUCUGGGCAACAACUGACGCUGAGGAGCGAAAGCGUGGGGGAGCGAACAGG